GGUUGUGUUCCACCGAGGGAAGAUUACAUAUCACGAUUUUCCUGUGAGUGGGUUUGCAUUAACAUGAUGACAUUUUAGGGAACUCUUUACUGUAGCUGUCAAAGUGGUAUCAUCCCAAGUCAAGAAACACACCAGUGAAGAAUUACAGCUGUGGGGUGUAGGACAAGUGGAUCACUCAGACUAAACAGACAUGAAGGAAAUAAACGUCAGUCCGUCUGUCAUCUGCAGGUUGAAACGCACUGAAGGUAACCAAGAAUGGAAGAGAUUCAUGAGUGCACUUCAGAAGGGUGUUGGCCCCAUUAUCAAUGCAGCAUCAUCUUGGGUUCCAAGUGAGCGGUGUCUGGCACUCUGAAGCGAU
ensembl:lncRNA